rnacentral:rRNA from 1 species
ACCGCAAGGAGGGGGAUGCCUAAGGCAGGGCUAGUGACUGGGGUGAAGUCGUAACAAGGUAGCCGUACCGGAAGGUGUGGCUGGAUCACCUCCUUA